rnacentral:snRNA from 1 species
GUCGCUUCUCGGCCUUUUGGCUAAGAUCAAGUGUAGUAUCUGUUCUUAUCAGUUUAAUUCUAGUGGAGCAAAGCUCCCACAGCCACCGGAAGUUACUGAUUGUAUUCUCCUCUUACAAAGCUGUUUAGCCAAUGGGCAGAAUUUUCUGAUGAACUAUGAACUGCUGCCUGACAAAACAUGUUAUUUCUUGGCCUACUGGAACUUGAGGUGUC